rnacentral:rRNA from 1 species
GACGAACGCUGGCGGCGUGCCUAAUACAUGCAAGUCGAGCGGACAGACGGGAGCUUGCUCCCUGAUGUUAGCGGCGGACGGGUGAGUAACACGUGGGUAACCUGCCUGUAAGACUGGGAUAACUCCGGGAAACCGGGGCUAAUACCGGAUGGUUGUCUGAACCGCAUGGUUCAGACAUAAAAGGUGGCUUCGGCUACCACUUACAGAUGGACCCGCGGCGCAUUAGCUAGUUGGUGAGGUAACGGCUCACCAAGGCAACGAUGCGUAGCCGACCUGAGAGGGUGAUCGGCCACACUGGGACUGAGACACGGCCCAGACUCCUACGGGAGGCAGCAGGAGGGAAUCUUCCGCAAUGGACGAAAGUCUGACGGAGCAACGCCGCGGGAGUGAUGAAGGUUUUCGGAUCGGAAAGCUCUGUUGUUAGGGAAGAACAAGUGCCGUUCAAAUAGGGCGGCACCUUGACGGUACCUAACCAGAAAGCCACGGCUAACUACGUG